rnacentral:rRNA from 1 species
GAUGAACGCUGGCGGCGUGCCUAAUACAUGCCAGUCGAGCGAACGGACGAGAAGCUUGCUUCUCUGAUGUUAGCGGCGGACGGGUGAGUAACACGUGGAUAACCUACCUAUAAGACUGGGAUAACUUCGGGAAACCGGAGCUAAUACCGGAUAAUAUUUUGAACCGCAUGGUUCAAAAGUAAAAGACGGUCUUGCUGUCACUUAUAGAUGUAUCCGCGCUGCAUUAGCUAGUUGGUAAGGUAACGGCUUACCAAGGCAACGAUGCAUAGCCGACCUGAGAGGGUGAUCGGCCACACUGGAACUGAGACACGGUCCAGACUCCUACGGGAGGCAGCAGUAGGGAAUCUUCCGCAAUGGGCGAAAGCCUGACGGAGCAACGCCGCGUGAGUGAUGAAGGUCUUCGGAUCGUAAAACUCUGUUAUUAGGGAAGAACAUAUGUGUAAGUAACUGUGCACAUCUUGACGGUACCUAAUCAGAAAGCCACGGCUAACUACGUG